rfam:Serratia sp. M24T3 contig010, whole genome shotgun sequence.
GCCAUACUACGAUGCAACGAACGGGGGUGCAACGUGGGUGAAAGUAAACGAUGAUCCCAAAGGAACUCUACGGUAAAAUACCACUCAAAAUGAAAAACCAAUCCUGGCCUGGUGUUUACUCCGGGUGAGGUUUUUUU